UUCUAAUUCUUUAGGAGAAAACCACAAUGGC
rnacentral:piRNA from 1 species